UCGAGGAUCUUCGGCAAUGGGCGCAAGCCUGACCGAGCGACGCCGCGUGUGCGACGAAGGCCUUCGGGUUGUAAAGCACUGUCGAGGGGGAGGAAGCCGAAAGGUUGACCUAUCCCUGGAGGAAGCACGGGCUAAGUUCGUGCCAGCAGCCGCGGUAAGACGAACCGUGCGAACGUUGUUCGGAAUCACUGGGCUUAAAGGGCGCGUAGGCGGGCCGAAAAGUCAGGGGUGAAAUCCUCCAGCUUAACUGGAGAACUGCCUUUGAUACUGGCGGUCUGGAGGAAGGUAGGGGCAUGCGGAACUGAUGGUGGAGCGGUGAAAUGUGUUGAUAUCAUCAGGAACUCCGGUGGCGAAAGCGGCGUGCUGGACCUUUUCUGACGCUGAGGCGCGAAAGCCAGGGGAGCAAACGGGAUUAGAUACCCCCGUAGUCC
rnacentral:rRNA from 1 species